GACGAACGCUGGCGGCGUGCUUAACACAUGCAAGUCGAACGGAAAGGCCCGGCUUUGGUGGGGUGCUCGAGGUGCGAACGGGUGAGUAACACGUGAGUAACCUGCCCUUGACUUUGGGAUAACUUCAGGAAACUUGGGCUAAUACCGGAUAGGAUCUCCUGCUGCAGGGUGGGGGUGGGAAGGUUUCGGCGGUUGGGGGUGGACUGGCCGCUUAUCAGAUUGUUUGUUGGGUAGUGGAUUACCAAGGCUUGGACGGGUAGCCGGGCUGGUAGGGUGAGCGGACCAGUCGGGCUUGGACUGCGGCCCAGCCCAGUACGGGAGGCAGCAGUGGGGAAUAGUGUACAAUGGGAGGAAGCAUGGUGCAGCAAAGCAGCGUGGGGGAUGACGGCAAUGGGGUUGUAAUCCGAAUUCGCCUGUGACGAAGCGAGAGUGACGGUAAUGGGUAAAGAAGCACCGGCUAACUACGUG
rnacentral:rRNA from 1 species